UACGUAGGUCCCGAGCGUUGUCCGGAUUUAUUGGGCGUAAAGCGAGCGCAGGUGGUUUAUUAAGUCUGGUGUAAAAGGCAGUGGCUCAACCAUUGUAUGCAUUGGAAACUGGUAGACUUGAGUGCAGGAGAGGAGAGUGGAAUUCCAUGUGUAGCAGUGAAAUGCGUAGAUACAUGGAGGAACACCGGUGGCGAAAGCGGCUCUCUGGCCUGUAACUGACACUGAGGCUCGAAAGCGUGGGGAGCAAACAGG
rnacentral:rRNA from 1 species